rnacentral:rRNA from 1 species
UAGGCCUAAUACUAGUGUAAACACUGACUUUUUUGCUGUUAAAACAAUGCAUUUUAAUGAUCUGGCCCUCCCAAACAAGGUUUAGCAACGUUUGGCCCUCCCAAUUUGAUUUUCCUGGCUCCGCCACUGGAAGCGAGAGCUCAGCUGUUCCAAGGAAAGCAGCAGUUCUGUUGCAGUAGUUGCUGAAAGGCCAUACAUGAUAAUAUGUACUGGAGAUCGAUGGUCGUGCCAGUGAUUUGGGAGAUUUGGCGUGUGUGCAGUCGACGCAUUUUUCACAAAUUGGAGUUUCGGCUUGCCGUUGACGAAACCAAUGUUGCAAGGAUACCGACGCACAAUACAUUAUUUUGCAAUAGUAAUCUAGCUUAGUGGUCCUUGCCAUUCUGUGUUUUCUCCUCUGCUUUUCCUAUGUUUUGUACAUUAUAAACUCAUGUCAAUAAAAUCAACAGCUGUGUUAUGGUGUUAUUCAGC